rnacentral:rRNA from 1 species
AUACGUAGGUGGCAAGCGUUGUCCGGAAUUAUUGGGCGUAAAGCGCGCGCAGGCGGCUUCUUAAGUCUGAUGUGAAAGCCCACGGCUCAACCGUGGAGGGUCAUUGGAAACUGGGAGGCUUGAGUGCAGAAGAGAAGAGCGGAAUUCCACGUGUAGCGGUGAAAUGCGUAGAGAUGUGGAGGAACACCAGUGGCGAAGGCGGCUCUUUGGUCUGUAACUGACGCUGAGGCGCGAAAGCGUGGGUAGCGAACAGGAUUAGAUACCCUGGUAGUCCACGCCGUAAACGAUGAGUGCUAAGUGUUAGGGGGUUUCCGCCCCUUAGUGCUGCAGCAAACGCAUUAAGCACUCCGCCUGGGGAGUACGGCCGCAAGGCUGAA